UACGUAGGGGACGAGCGUUGUCCGGAUUUACUGGGCGUAAAGAGCGCGCAGGCGGUCGUUCAAGUCGGGUGUGAAAGCCCCCGGCUCAACUUGGGAGGGUCAUUCGAUACUGAUCGACUGGAAGGCAGGAGAGGGAAGUGGAAUUCCCGGUGUAGUGGUGAAAUGCGUAGAUAUGCGGAGGAACACCGAUGGCGAAGGCAAUCCCCUGGACCUGUACUGACGCUCAUGCACGAAAGCGUGGGGAGCAAACAGG
rnacentral:rRNA from 1 species